GGUCGGUUAGCUCAGUUGGUUAGAGCGUCGUAAGUUCUUACUAUAUCAUUACCAAGCUGGCAUUCCACUAAUCCGCCUCAGGUACUAAUACAAAAUACCAUUGUAUAAGUAAUGCGAAGGUCAUGAGUUCGACCCUCAUACUGACCA